rnacentral:rRNA from 1 species
GACGAACGCUGGCGGCGUGCUUAACACAUGCAAGUCGAACGGAAAGGCCCUGCUUUUGUGGGGUGCUCGAGUGGCGAACGGGUGAGUAACACGUGAGUAACCUGCCCUUGCCUUUGGGAUAACUUCAGGAAACUGGGGCUAGUACCGGAUAGGAGCUCCUGCUGCAUGGUGGGGGUUGGAAAGUUUCGGCGGGUGGGGAUGGACUCGCGGCUUAUCAGCUUGGUGGUGGGGUAGUGGCUUACCAAGGCUUUGACGGGUAGCCGGCCUGAGAGGGUGGCCGGCCACACUGGGACUGCGAUACCGGCCAGAAGCCUACGGGAGGCAGGAGUGGGGAAUGGUGCACAAAGGGAGGGAGGCUGAUGGAGCAACGCCGGGUUCGGGAUGACGGCCUUCGGGUUGUAGACCGGUUUCGCCCUGGACGGAGGGGUAGUGACGGUAAUGGGAGAAGAAGCACCGGCUAACUACGUG